rnacentral:rRNA from 1 species
UACGAGGGGUCCAAGCGUUAUCCGGAAUUAUUGGGCGUAAAGGGUAUGUAGGCGGUUAUGUUAGUCGGGUGUCGAAUCUCUGGGCUCAACCCAGAGACAGCAUUCGAAACGGCAUGACUAGAGUAUGUUAGGGGUAAGCGGAACUCAUAGUGUAGGGGUGAAAUGCGCAGAUAUCAGGAGGAACACCGAUGGCGAAGGCAGGUCUCUGGGCCACUACUGACGCUGAGGAGCGAAAGCGUGGGGAGCGAACAGG